rnacentral:rRNA from 1 species
GACAGAGACCUCAAGUGUUAUUCGGAAUUAUUGGGCGUAAAGGGUGCGUAGGUGGAUCUGUUAGUCUCUUGUUAAAGCUCCCGGCCUAACCGGGAAGAUGCGAGGGAAACGGCAGAUCUAGAGUGUGUGAGAGGCGUACGGAACUCAUGGUGUAGGGGUGAAAUCCGUUGAUAUCAUGGGGAACACCAAAGGCGAAGGCAGUACGCUGGCACAUUACUGACACUCAAGCACGAAAGCGUGGGGAGCGAACGGG